UUAAGCAACUGUUGACAUACUGUAUAUUGUUUUGGUCAUAGUUCCUUUUCAUAUACAGAUAAAAACUGAAACGUUACAUUGUUGGUCUUUAGUUUGCUCUAUAAUUAUUCUAUCAUGUAAUUAAUGAUUUUCUCUCCUUUUUGUUUCUUUUUUGUUGUUUUGUGAUUGUGCAUAGAUCUGACACCUGAUGAACACCAUGCAAAGAGGCACCAACCCCAAAGUCAAAAGUAGGAUCAUCAGGACUACAGCGAAGAUGGCAGCCAUUCACCCUGUGAAGAAGAUUGUACUUUCAUUGCCUUCCAUCACAUUUUUACUCCAUGCCGCUGUUAAAUCGUGAUUUUGUGCCGAAGGUGAACAACAUCCAAGAAACCACAAAUAAGGAUGGCGGCAACCCCAAAGACAAAAGUUGGAUCAUCAAUGAGGGCUACAGCAAAGAUGGCAGUCGUUCAACCUGUGAAGAAUCAGCAUUCCAACACAGGGUUUGAGAAUUGGUCGCGGCAGAUGGCCACCCACCAUGAUCCGGGUUCUGUUCAAGGUUUCUGCCACAGGCAGUUUUUCCUUGCCACCAUUGCCAAGUGCUUGGUCAUGCUGGGAAUUGUAAUUGUAAUGGAGAUUGUUAAAACUGUUAUCACAGAACUUUAUAAUUACAACAAUAUAUUAAACACUUUGUUAAUAUCUUAUAAUGUUUCCUGGUCAUUUCACACUUUAUUACACAAUUCUAUCUUUUCAUAGAAAUUUCCGCAGUUGCAAUGGGCAUUUCAGCAGAGGGCAUCAACACUGCACUUUCUGCAGGAAAUGCAGUGUAUUUCUUAUGCCCUUUCACAACAUUUCUAAGCAAACACUUAAUUUUUAACAGCCUAUUUCUUCUCUCAUAUGAACACCUGUUGAAAGCUUGAUCUGUCACAUACCUAAGCAAUGGUAGAAGUAAUAUUCUGUAAACUACUCAACAGUGUCAAUGAUGUAUGGGGGAGAGUCACGGGCCAGAGUCAGGCACACUCAAAAUUUCUUUAGAAAUUUUU